CCUGGCUCCGUAUGAGCGCUAGCUACAGGCUUAACACAUGCAAGUCGACGUGCAGCAUUUCAGUUUGCUUGCAAACUGGAGAUGGCGACCGGCGCACGGGUGAGUAACACGUAUCCAACCUGCCGAUAACUCGGGGAUAGCCUUUCGAAAGAAAGAUUAAUACCCGAUGGCAUAAUUAGACCGCAUGGUCUUAUUAUUAAAGAAUUUCGGUUAUCGAUGGGGAUGCGUUCCAUUAGGCAGUUGGUGAGGUAACGGCUCACCAAACCUUCGAUGGAUAGGGGUUCUGAGAGGAAGGUCCCCCACAUUGGAACUGAGACACGGUCCAAACUCCUACGGGAGGCAGCAGUGAGGAAUAUUGGUCAAUGGGCGCAGGCCUGAACCAGCCAAGUAGCGUGAAGGAUGACUGCCCUAUGGGUUGUAAACUUCUUUUAUAUGGGAAUAAAGUUUUCCACGUGUGGAAUUUUGUAUGUACCAUAUGAAUAAGGAUCGGCUAACUCCGUGCCAGCAGCCGCGGUAAUACGGAGGAUCCGAGCGUUAUCCGGAUUUAUUGGGUUUAAAGGGAGCGUAGGUGGAUAGUUAAGUCAGUUGUGAAAGUUUGCGGCUCAACCGUAAAAUUGCAGUUGAUACUGGCUGUCUUGAGUACAGUAGAGGUGGGCGGAAUUCGUGGUGUAGCGGUGAAAUGCUUAGAUAUCACGAAGAACUCCGAUUGCGAAGGCAGCUCACUGGACUGCAACUGACACUGAUGCUCGAAAGUGUGGGUAUCAAACAGGAUUAGAUACCCUGGUAGUCCACACAGUAAACGAUGAAUACUCGCUGUUUGCGAUAUACAGUAAGCGGCCAAGCGAAAGCAUUAAGUAUUCCACCUGGGGAGUACGCCGGCAACGGUGAAACUCAAAGGAAUUGACGGGGGCCCGCACAAGCGGAGGAACAUGUGGUUUAAUUCGAUGAUACGCGAGGAACCUUACCCGGGCUUAAAUUGCAUUUGAAUAAUCUGGAAACAGGUUAGCCGUAAGGCAAAUGUGAAGGUGCUGCAUGGUUGUCGUCAGCUCGUGCCGUGAGGUGUCGGCUUAAGUGCCAUAACGAGCGCAACCCUUAUCUUUAGUUACUAACAGGUUAUGCUGAGGACUCUAGAGAGACUGCCGUCGUAAGAUGUGAGGAAGGUGGGGAUGACGUCAAAUCAGCACGGCCCUUACGUCCGGGGCUACACACGUGUUACAAUGGGGGGUACAGAAGGCAGCUACCUGGUGACAGGAUGCUAAUCCCAAAAGCCUCUCUCAGUUCGGAUCGAAGUCUGCAACCCGACUUCGUGAAGCUGGAUUCGCUAGUAAUCGCGCAUCAGCCAUGGCGCGGUGAAUACGUUCCCGGGCCUUGUACACACCGCCCG
rnacentral:rRNA from 1 species